rnacentral:lncRNA from 10 species
CUUGGUUCAAUUUUUUUUUUUAAUGGACAUUCAAAUCUGUAAAUACUACACUGCUCUUAAGACCUGAUUUGAAAUUUCACAGGAAGGCCUAAUCCUAUAGUCACAAGGUAAGGACAGUUGAGUAGUGUAAGAACCCCAACCUGCUUGCAGAGAACCUUGGUUUUCAUAGAAAGGAAAGGCUGAAGGUUUUCUAGCAUUGUUGCCCUUCUUUGUCUGUCAGUCAGUUCACCCUCUGUGAUUCUCCAUGGACCCGCAUUGCAGAAAAUCAGUCCCAUAUAUUAGUGAGCCAUGUACUGCCCAAUCCGGGGGCUCCUGGGGUGUGGUGUGUCCACCAGUGACUCUCCGGACACUAGCUUCAGUAAGGAUACUUCUUAUUUCGGUUGAGAAUGCAGAGGCUUUUAUUCGUGGACUCACAUCACUGCAUAGCACAAAGAAUGUGAUUGCCAUUUGCUGCGUGAGAAAAAGCUGGGCUCCCUAUUUCUUUUUUGGGUUGGACUCUGCCGUGCAGCCAUAGGACACCAAGCCUCACGCACUUUCCCCUUGGGACAGUAGUGUUUGGGUGAAUGUUACUGCAUCCCGUUUUUUUUCUUUUCUUUUUUUUUUUUUUUUUUUUGAGACGAAAUCUUGCUCUUGUCCCCCAGACUGGAGUGCAAUGGCACGAUCUCGGCUCACUGCAACCUCCACCUCCCAGGUUCAAGGGAUUCGUCUGCCUCGGCCUCCCAAGUAGCUGGGACUACAAGCGCGCACCACCACUCCCAGCUAAUUUUUGUAUUUUUAGUAGAGGCGGGGUUUCACCAUGUUGGCCAGGCUGGUCUCAAACUCCUGACCUCAGGUGAUCCACCCGCCUUGGCCUCCCAACAUGCUGGGAUUACAGGCGUGAGCCAACACACCGGACCUUCAUUUUUUAAAUUAAGCUGGGACACAAGUUUUGCCUCCAGGCUGGAUGUUGAUCCUGCUCUGUGCUAGACAGAUGUGCGGAGGGACUGUUCCGGGCUCGGCUUGACCUUUUCCUACCUAGUUUCUCCCUCUUGUCCUGCACAAGAGGACUAACUGAACUCUAACGUCAGAACGGCUGACGAGCAGUUGAUUGUCCUUGCUUGUGUUGUUGACAGGGGUGGGUGGGGUGGGAGCAGGGGUAUGGAUAUUGCAUAAGUUAUUGAAAUGCUGACCCCCGUUCAGGAAACCAUGCAGCCCCUUCCCUUCCCUUCCCUUCCCUUCCUUUCCCUUCCCUAGCCAGGGCUCAGGUACCUCACUCUCCUGCCUUGUGCGUAGCUCCUGGGGCCCCGGUCAGUCCCCAGCAGCCUUGGCACACAGUGUCUGGAGCCUCUGCUCCUGCUGCAAAAGCAGAAACCAUGUGAACCUUCUGGCCAGUACUGGAAAGGGGAAUGCUAUUUAUUUUUAUAUUGUGUAUAUUUUGUCGUGGUCUGCUGAUUCCCUGUUUCACUGAGAGCGACACUUACCUCAAUAGUUAGUUCAAUAUUGUGUGUUGGAUAAUUUUUUAAAAGAACUUUUUAAAAAGCUUUUUGAUCCUUGGAGGUCUGUAGAUUUAUUUCCAUAUGAACUGGUUAUUUUGUAUAAAGUACAUGCUUAAAAU